AUUGAACGCUGGCGGCAUGCUUUACACAUGCAAGUCGAACGGCAGCGCGGGCUUCGGCCUGGCGGCGAGUGGCGAACGGGUGAGUAAUACAUCGGAACGUGCCCAGUAGUGGGGGAUAGCUCGGCGAAAGCCGGAUUAAUACCGCAUACGACCUGAGGGUGAAAGCGGGGGGUCUUCGGACCUCGCGCUAUUGGAGCGGCCGAUGGCAGAUUAGCUAGUUGGUGGGGUAAAGGCCUACCAAGGCGACGAUCUGUAGCUGGUCUGAGAGGACGACCAGCCACACUGGAACUGAGACACGGCCCAGACUCCUACGGGAGGCAGCAGUGGGGAAUUUUGGACAAUGGGCGAAAGCCUGAUCCAGCAAUGCCGCGUGUGUGAUGAAGGCCUUCGGGUUGUAAAGCACUUUUGGCGGGAACGAAAAGGACUGUGCCAAUACCACGGUUCGAUGACGGUACCCGCAGAAUAAGCACCGGCUAACUACGUG
rnacentral:rRNA from 1 species